UUAGGCAUUGGAAUGGACUGCCCAGGGAGGUGGUUGAGUCGCCAUCCCUGGAGAUCUUUAAAAGACAUUUAGAUGUAGAGCUUAGUGAUAUGGUUUAGUGGAGGGCUUGUUAGUGUUAGGUCAGAGGUUGGACUCGGUGAUCUUGGAGGUCUCUUCCAACCUGGAUGAUUCUGUGAUUCUGUGAUUCUGUGAUAAUCAUACUGAAAAACACAAUAAUACACAGCGGUUACUUUUUUGUGUGUUCUCAAACAUCUACACUACACUGGUAGUUCACGCUACCAGCACCAAGAUAUAAAAAGGCCAUCAUUUUUUCAAACAUAAUAUUAGAUAUUAAAUUACAAUGGAGAGUUAUAUAAAGGAUGGCUGGUAUCUGGGAGGCAGUUCCUUCUCCUCACAUCCCAUUGGAGGAUUAAAGUAAAUAAAUUAUUUUCUGUCUAUGUUCCCAAGCUAGAAAGCUCAUAAUGUAUUAAUCACCUUUACUCCAUCAACAGCCAUACUCCUACUAAAUUCUGAGCUAGGAAGAAAUAGCAUGGGCUCAUUUCAAAUCAUCAGACUUCACACAGUGGAAAAUAUUUUUACUCCCAUACUGGAUAAUUUAUAAUCCACUGCCUAACAGCAAGCCUCGUAUCAAGUACCACCUCACCGGCAGAAACAGCUUCCUUGGCUCUGGGCAAGUGAAUGCAGAGUUGAGAAAGGACAUUGGAAGCCCCUGGAAAUGCAAACACAAAACCAUGCCCUGAUUGCCACCGUGGCACUAUAGCCAAAAGAAUCAUAGAAUCAUAGAAUCAUAGAAUAUCCUGAGUUGGAAGGGACCCUUAAGGAUCAUCAAGUCCAACUCCUGGCACCACACAGGUCUACCCAAAAGUUCAGACCAUGUGACUAAGUGCACAGUCCAAUCUCUUCUUAAAUUCAGACAGGCUCGGUGCAGUGACCACUUCCCUGGGGAGCCUGUUCCAGUGUGCAGUGACCACUUCCCUGGGGAGCCUGUUCCAGUGUGCAACCACCCUCUCUGUGAAGAACCCCCUCCUGAUGUCGAGCCUAAAUUUCCCCUGCCUCAGCUUAACCCCGUUCCCGCGGGUCCUGUCACUGCUGUUAAUGGAGAAAAGGUCUCCUGCCUCUCGACACCCCCUUACGAGGAAGUUGUAGACUGUGAUGAGGUCUCCCCUCAGCCUCCUCUUGCAUCGGUCUGCUACACAACAAGCGAUUCACCCUGAAACAAGAAAGAUGCUAACUCACAUAACACAGCUUUCAGCUGCAGCUAUUGGUCUGCAGAGAAAGCAGCAAGAUCACAAUAACACUUCCGUAGUCUGAAGUUCCUGCCUUCCAAUGCACACUGUCUUUUACGCCUGCAAGUCUUUUUGAAAUAUGCAAAAUAUUGACCAUUCCUGAAAUUGGGAGACACCUUGGCACAGGGCUAUCAUGGCCUCAAC
rnacentral:lncRNA from 1 species